rnacentral:rRNA from 1 species
GAAGGUUGGGUAACACUAACUGGAGGACCGAACCGACUAAUGUUGAAAAAUUAGCGGAUGACCUGUGGCUGGGGGUGAAAGGCCAAUCAAACCGGGAGAUAGCUGGUUCUCCCCGAAAGCUAUUUAGGUAGCGCCUCGUGAAUUCAUCUCCGGGGGUAGAGCACUGUUUCGGCUAGGGGGCCAUCCCGGCUUACCAACCCGAUGCAAACUGCGAAUACCGGAGAAUGUUAUCACGGGAGACACACGGCGGGUGCUAACGUCCGUCGUGAAGAGGGAAACAACCCAGACCGCCAGCUAAGGUCCCAAAGUCAUGGUUAAGUGGGAAACGAUGUGGGAAGGCCCAGACAGCCAGGAUGUUGGCUUAGAAGCAGCCAUCAUUUAAAGAAAGCGUAAUAGCUCACUGGUCGAGUCGGCCUGCGCGGAAGAUGUAACGGGGCUAAACCAUGCACCGAAGCUGCGGCAGCGACACUGUGUGUUGUUGGGUA